AUGUCGAGCGUGCGCCUGAGCCUGCAGCGCGGGUGCACGGCGGCAGAGGACGCGUACCUUGAGCGGCUCGCGAGGGAGAAGGGCUUCGGCAACUCCUCGAUGUCUCGAUUCGGCCGAGGAGGUAGAUCGAUGUCCACCAUGCGCCUGAGGCUGAGGCUGCUGUGGACAGCCGAGGAAGACGCGCGCCUGGAGCGGCUCGCGAGGGAAAACGGCUUCCGCCACUGGAGCCGGGUGGCGCGCCGGAUGCCGGGCCGCUCCCGCAGCCUCUGCCUCGCCCGGUGGCGUCACCUAUCGGCGGAGCGCGAGGUGUGCUACCUCCACACCGCCCUCGCCGCACUCUCCCACCGCGACGAGGACGAGCUCCUCAGCCGCGACUGGAUGCGCCGCUGGACGGCCUACAGAAAGAAGGCCGCCAAGAGCAGCCCGGAGAAGGCCCAAGAAUACUGGACGGAGUUCAUGAAGAACGCCGCUACGGGUUUCUUGGAGGAGGGGGUCCAGUCGGGGCCGGAGCCGGCUUCCCCGGCGCCGAUGCAGGAACAGCAACAGCACCCUCUCGCCGACGUCCUUGCCUCGGGCUUGAGCUCUUGCAGCCUCGCACCGGUAGAUCCCAGGGCUGGCAGCCUCGCGCUCGGGCUUGCGCGCAUGACCAUCUGA
rnacentral:rRNA from 1 species